CAAGGAAUAGUUUAAUUAAAAAUAUUAAUUUUGGAGAUUAAUGACAGGGGUAAACUCUUUCCUUGA
rnacentral:tRNA from 1 species